rnacentral:rRNA from 1 species
UACAGAGGGUGCGAGCGUUAAUCGGAAUUACUGGGCGUAAAGCGCACGUAGUCGGCUUUGCAAGUCGGGGGUGAAAUCCCCGGGCUCAACCUGGGAACUGCAUCCGAGACUGCAUUGCUAGAGUAUGGGAGAGGGAAGCGGAAUUUCUGGUGUAGCAGUGAAAUGCGUAGAUAUCAGAAGGAACAUCAGUGGCGAAGGCGGCUUCCUGGACCAAUACUGACGAUCAGGUGCGAAAGCGUGGGGAGCAAACAGG